rnacentral:tRNA from 2 species
CGGAGCGUAGCGCAGCCUGGUAGCGCAUCACACUGGGGGUGUGGGGGUCGUCAGUUCAAAUCUGACCGCUCCGACCA